UGAAGAUGAGGAAGCACAUAGUUUCUAUUAUUUUGUCGACCUGAAGAUGUUCACAAUGUUAAUUUGCAGCAUAUCACCCCUUGUUCUUCUGUGGAUCAUUAACGUCCAGAUCCCAGUUCUUGAAGCAGAAGAAGUCAAAGUGACGGGUUACAUCGGGCAUGAUGUCACCCUGCCAUGCCAAUUCAUCCCAGGACCAGAUGAUACGAUUAUUUGGGUUCAUUGGGACUUCGAACCACUAGACGGAGAGAAAAUCAACAUUAUUGUUUCUAGUAGUAUAUAUGGAGUUACUGUUAAUGAAUCGUUUCUAAAGGGGAGAGUGGAGAUUGAAGAACAAUCUUUGAUAAUUCGAGAUGUGGAAUUUAGAGAUGCAGGAUCUUACACCUGGACAAUUUCAUCCUUUCCUCGUGGUGUGUUUGAUGGAACCAUCAAUCUUCUUGUUCGAGAAGAGAUGCUGAUAUUACCAAGAAUGAUUGCUGCUGGAGUAUUCGCACUGAUAGUAGUGACCAUGUUGGCCACGACUUGCUUCAUCAUCAGAAUAAGAUACAAGCGGCCCAGGGAUGUGUGAUCGAAAGUGGCAAGGUCUUCUCUGAAGUCAAGCUCAAAUCAUACGGAGAUGGUAAACCUCCAUCCAAUGACGAACACACAUCCUGAAGAUGUCAAGCGCUUCAAAGUUAUGAUUGGCAUUUACUGUAAUUAACUCUUAAAGCUUCUAUACUGUAAGUUGCAUUUAACAUAAUUUUGGUAACAUUUAGUAAACUUUUAUAUAUGUAUGUAUAUAAACUGCUCCUUGGAUUAAUAAUAAGGCCUGUGUCAUUCUAUGUUUUUGUGAUUGACCAAAAACAAUAAGGCGCUUUUUUAGUCAAACAUGAGUAAAAACUGCAUCUGUUGGCAAAGUACUUUAGCUGAGGAUUCAUACACAUUAGCGAGUAUUUACAGAAUUUUAAACAUUUUAUAAAGUGGGAACAGGUCAACAAACAAAACAGGGUGGUACAUUUCUGUUUUUUUUCAAUAGCUUUUGGACAAAACUGGAUAAAUGUUGGUUUUAGUCUUUUAAUGGGAUUUGUUGACAUGAAAAAAUAUAGAAUACUGUCACCCUCAUUCUUUCAAUAAAACCCCAAACUUGAUGCUUCUCAAGCCGUAAAAAAUCUCACUGCACCUGAAUCCAACCAGCCAAUCAUGAUAGCAGACAGUUUUAAGUGACACAAACGUUGUCAGUAAUAAACAAUGGAUGAGAAAUCAAAACAUGAUGCCGUUUAUUCUAGUGAAAGAUGAAUGUAAGUUACACUCAGGAAGUUUGCUUCUUACAGCCCUUUCUGUUUUAAUAUGUAGGAAAAAGUCUAUACGAGUCUCAGGGUGUUACAUGUAAUAUAGACUGUGGAUGUUUACCCCAAUGCCAGCACAAACAAACGCUGUACUUCACAUAAUGCAAUGUGCCUCAUUUCAUUGGGAUAAGCCAAAAAUACAAAGUUAUAUCAAACAGUAGAGCAGAUGAUAUUUUUCACUGCGUUCCUCAAUUACAGGAAAACAGUAAGAUAUAGUUUGCAAUGUUGCUGUAUCUCAAAACUAUUAAAUAAAGAAAAGAGAGACAAACAUUGUAAAAAGGGAAACUAAAUUAGGUAAAACGAUUAUAGUUUCACUUUCUAUGUGAAAAUUAGAUUCUUGAUGCCCCUUUUUGUUGUUUGUCAAUUUCUUACUUGUUCUCUCCCAAUUCUACCCAUUUCCGCAAACAAACAAGAAUAGCAUUAUACGAUGCAGACUUGUUCUGCAUGUAUUCCAAUGCAGCAUAUCCUGAUACAACGGCUCAUGUGGUAUCUUUUUUGUGCCUUCUUCUACAAAUACCGAACAUCAUGAGCGACCAGUGAGCGUGAGCCAGCCACUGCAGUGUAAAGCCUGUUUAGGUAACAAAAUUACUUGGGUAUGUUUAGGAACAGAUCAUAAAAAGAAGAUUGUUACUUUUAUUUGUUUAUUAUUUUAGAUUAUAGUUACCAGCGUUUUCUGUUUUUGAGAGAGAUGUAAACAAAGAAACAGAGUUGGCCUACCUGAUCUCCUCCAGAAGGUAAUUCUAGUUGAGGGUUGAGGGGCCACGGCACUGAUUAUGUCUGUUGUGGCUCAUUUCAUGGGUAGGAAGUCCAAACAGAAGUAACUGAUGAUCCACAGGAAACUGGUAUAAGGCAGGAAAAGAGGGCAGGUUUCAGGUUGCACAGUACUGUAACAAUCCCAGGAAAAGGGGGAGCAAAAGUAUGAAGCACAACAUUGAAAAACUAGCAACUGCCCAGGGCAAAGGGGCUGGUAUAUGUACAGCAGGGCUGAUUAGGGGAAGUGGAAACAGGUGAGCAGGUGAAUGAGAGUCAUGUGACUGGGACCAGUGGGAAGGUCUGAGGGGGAUGUGGUGGACAGGUAGGGAAUGGCAGGUCUGGGGAGCUGGAGGAGAGAACGUGGCCUGCAGGGAGAGAUGAGCCGGUCAAAACAAACUACUAGACAGGAAGACUCACUCUGUGCUGUCAGAACAUGUGAGAACAACAUCAGUUUUUUGCUUUGUAAAAACGUUAAUUUACAUCUUAAAGGCUCUUUUUUCUUUUUUUUUUCAUGUUCUGUGAUGUUUCAUUUAUUUGAUGUUGAAACUCAGUGCUUAAGACAUUUGAUUAUAUUUACCAUCUGUGUUGUCAGGACUCAUGAGAACAAAAGUGAUUUUUUUCCUGAUGUGUAAAAAAAGCUAACAUAAGGGCUGGUAUUACCUUUUUUAAUUUGUUGUGCAGUUACAUCUGUUUUCUGUUGAUAGUUAGUCCUUAAGUUGUGUUUACAAGUGUUUGUAAUGCUUUUUGAGAUUAUUCUAUCUGUUGCUUUAUCAACAAAUGAAGUCAUGAUUGCGAGCAAAGCAUAAAGAAAAAAACAGUGCACAGUUCUCUAAAUUGUCUUUACGUUUUCUUUAAAGCAGAAGUUGAUUUUGUUGGUGGCUACUGCUUAAUAAAGUUGCACAU